AGUGAACGCUGGCGGUAGGCCUAACACAUGCAAGUCGAACGGCAGCACAGUAAGAGCUUGCUCUUACGGGUGGCGAGUGGCGGACGGGUGGGGAAUACAUCGGAAUCUACUUUUUCGCGGGGGAUAACGUAGGGAAACUUACGCUAAUACCGCAUACGACCUACGGGUGAAAGAAGGGGAUCUUCGGACCUUGCGCGAUUGAAUGAGCCGAUGUCGGAUUAGCUAGUUGGCGGGGUAAAGGCCCACCAAGGCGACGAUCCGUAGCUGGUCUGAGAGGAUGAUCAGCCACACUGGAACUGAGACACGGUCCAGACUCCUACGGGAGGCCGCAGUGGGGAAUAUUGGACAAUGGGCGCAAGCCUGAUCCAGCCAUACCGCGUGGGUGAAGAAGGCCUUCGGGUUGUAAAGCCCUUUUGUUGGGAAAGAAAAGCGGCAGGUUAAUACCCCGCUGUUCUGACGGUACCCAAAGAAUAAGCACCGGCUAACUUCGUG
rnacentral:rRNA from 1 species